rnacentral:rRNA from 1 species
GACGAACGCUGGCGGCGUGCCUAAUACAUGCAAGUAGAACGCACAGUUUAUACCGUAGCUUGCUACACCAUAGACUGUGAGUUGCGAACGGGUGAGUAACGCGUAGGUAACCUGCCUGGUAGCGGGGGAUAACUAUUGGAAACGAUAGCUAAUACCGCAUAAUAUUAAUUAUUGCAUGAUAAUUAAUUGAAAGGUGCAAUUGCACCACUACCAGCUGGACCUGCGUUGUAUUAGCUAGUAGGUGAGGUAACGGCUCACCUAGGCGACGAUACAUAGCCGACCUGAGAGGGUGAUCGGCCACACUGGGACUGAGACACGGCCCAGACUCCUACGGGAGGCAGCAGUAGGGAAUCUUAGGCAAUGGACGAAAGUCUGACCGAGCAACGCCGCGUGAGUGAAGAAGGUUUUCGGAUCGUAAAGCUCUGUUGUAAGAGAAGAACGGGUGUGAGAGUGGAAAGUUCACACUGUGACGGUAUCUUACCAGAAAGGGACGGCUAACUACGUG